ACGGGGGGAGCAAGCGUUGUCCGGAAUUAUUGGGCGUAAAGCGCGCGCAGGCGGUCAUUUAAGUCUGGUGUUUAAUCCCGGGGCUCAACCCCGGAUCGCACUGGAAACUGGGUGACUUGAGUGCAGAAGAGGAGAGUGGAAUUCCACGUGUAGCGGUGAAAUGCGUAGAUAUCGGGAGGAACCCCAGAGGCGAAGGCGGCCCCCUGGCUCGUACCUGACGCUCAGCCACGAAAGCAUGGGGAGCGAACGGGA
rnacentral:rRNA from 1 species